GGCGCUAUAUAGCAACUAGGAUAGCUAGUCGGUCUCAUAAUCCGAAAGUACGUGGUUCAAAUCCCGUUAGCGCUA
rnacentral:tRNA from 1 species